rnacentral:rRNA from 1 species
GAUGAACGCUGGCGGCGUGCCUAAUACAUGCAAGUCGAGCGAACAGACGAGGAGCUUGCUCCUCUGACGUUAGCGGCGGACGGGUGAGUAACACGUGGAUAACCUACCUAUAAGACUGGGAUAACUUCGGGAAACCGGAGCUAAUACCGGAUAAUAUAUUGAACCGCAUGGUUCAAUAGUGAAAGACGGUUUUGCUGUCACUUAUAGAUGGAUCCGCGCCGCAUUAGAUAGUUGGUAAGGUAACGGCUUACCAAGGCAACGAUGCGUAGCCGACCUGAGAGGGAGAUCGGCCACACUGGAACUGAGACACGGUCCAGACUCCCACGGGAGGCAGCAGAAGGGAAUCUUCCGCAAUGGGCGAAAGCCUGACGGAGCAACGCCGCGUGAGUGAUGAAGGUCUUGGGAUCGUAAAGCUCUGUUAUUAGGGAAGAACAAAUGUGUAAGUAACUAUGCACGUCUUGACGGUACCUAAUCAGAAAGCCACGGCUAACUACGUG